UACGGAGGGGACUAGCGUUGUUCGGAUUUACUGGGCGUAAAGAGCGCGUAGGCGGUCUAUUAAGUUGGAAGUGAAAGCCCGGGGCUUAACCUCGGAACUGCUUCCAAAACUGAUAGACUAGAGUACGGGAGGGGACAGUGGAAUUCCUAGUGUAGAGGUGAAAUUCUUAGAUAUUAGGAGGAACACCGGUGGCGAAGGCGACUGUCUGGAACGUAACUGACGCUGAGGCGCGAAAGCGUGGGGAGCAAACAGG
rnacentral:rRNA from 1 species